rnacentral:rRNA from 1 species
AAAAAAAACAAAACUAAGGACGCAUGUCCGGGUACUGAUGCUGCCCAGCAAUGGGAUGUGCUCGUCUGGAUGUGUGUCCCUUCUCUAUUCCACCCCACUGUGAACCAAGCGUUGUGAGCCGAAGAGAGAUCGGAGGCUUGCGCGCAACACUUAUCAUACCCCAUACGAAGUAACAGAAUGUACCAUGCGUUAACUCGCACAAAUAUAACUUUCAACAACGGAUCUCUUGGCUCUCGCAUCGAUGAAGAACGCAGCGAAAUGCGAUAAGUAAUGUGAAUUGCAGAAUUCAGUGAAUCAUCGAAUCUUUGAACGCACCUUGCGCCCCUUGGCAUUCCGAGGGGCACGCCUGUUUGAGUGUCGUGAACUCCUCCACCCUCUACCUUUUCCGAAGGGCAUUGGGCUGGGAUUUGGGAGCUUGCGGGUCCCUGGCUGAUCCGCUCUCCUUGAAUGUAUUAGCGAAGCCCUCGCGGCCUUGGUGUGAUAGUCAUCUACGCCUCAGCUUAGCGAACAUGUGGGAGUCGCUUCUAACCGUCUCGCAAGGGACAACACAUACCAACUUGACCUCAAAUCAGGCGGGACUACCCGCUGAACUUAAGCAUAUCAAUAAGCGGAGGAAA